GAUGAAUGCUGGCGGCGUGCCUAACACAUGCAAGUCGAGCGGCAGCGCGGUCUUCGGACUGGCGGCGAGCGGCGGACGGCUGAGUAACGCGUGGGAACGUACCCCAAAGUGAGGAAUAACUGCCCGAAAGGGUAGCUAAUGCCGCAUAUGGUCUUCGGAUUAAAGGAUUUAUCCGCUUUGGGAACGGCCUGCGUACGAUUAGAUUGUUGGUGAGGUAAUGGCUCACCAAGUCGACGAUCGUUAACUGGUCUGAGAGGAUGAUCAGUCAGACUGGAACUGAGACACGGUCCAGACUCCUACGGGAGGCAGCAGUGAGGAAUCUUCCACAAUGGGCGAAAGCCUGAUGGAGCAACGCCGCGUGCAGGAUGAAGGCCUUCGGGUCGUAAACUGCUUUUAUAAGUGAAGAAUAUGACGGUAACUUAUGAAUAAGCACCGGCUAACUACGUGCCAGCCGCCGCAGUA
rnacentral:rRNA from 1 species